rnacentral:lncRNA from 1 species
CUAGUUUGUUAUAUAAUAUAAAACAUGUUUAUUAGAUUCUAAAAGACAUAAAAAGAAAAUAAUACAUGUGUAUCAGUGAGAGAGGUGCAAAUUAGGAAGAGAACUAAGGAUUAUUCUUAAUUCCUGCCUUCCUUUCUAAAUCCCAAUCCUCAAUUGAACUCUUUAAUUAUAUUUCCUGUUUAUUUUAUUGAAUGGAAAAAAUGGAAAAUUAUCUAACAUUUGUCAUGGAAAUAUAGGAGAAAUUACUCUCAGAGAUAUGAUGUUAUUUAAGUCAUUGACAUAUUGUUAACCUCAGAUGCAAAUGGUGGAAUUAAUAAUAUUCCUCAGUUCAUGGUACAUAGUCACUGUUGGUCUAGUGCUAGUUUGUAGUUGUAUUUGUAUUUUUUAUUUUUUAGAAAUACGGUCUUCCUUUGUCACCCAGGCUGGAGUGCAGUGGUGUGAUCACAGCUCACAGUAAGCUCAAACUCCUGGGCUCAAGCAAUCUUCCUGCCUUGGCCUCCCAAGUAGGUAGGACUACAGGUGCAUGCCACCAUGCCAGCUAAUUAAAAUGUUUUAAAUUUAUUUUUGGUAAAUGGGGUCUUGUUAUGUUGCCCAUAGGCUUUAGUGCUAUGAUAAGCUAGUAAUUAUAGUGAACAUUCUUGUCUUGGAUACCCAAGGUUUUUCCGUUAUGUAUACUAGUGGUUACAGAUUUUUUGGAUUAUAACCUUUGCCAAAAUAGGAAAGUUUUGAUUCCUGCUUCCUUAACUGUUUUUCAAAAAUCACAAAUGGAUAUACUUUACCAAAUGUCUUUUAUUAAUAGACUGAGCAAAGGAAAUGACUUUUCUAUGAAUAUGGUAAAUUAUAGCAACAAUAUGUUUUAUUAUAUUGAACCACCCUAGUAUUCCAAGGAUUCCCUAUUUGAUCUUGAUGUAUCAUUAUUAGCAUAAUCAUUAUUAUUAUUGUUAUUAUUAUACAUAUUUUUAGAGACAGGGCCUUGCUCUGUUGCACAGGCCGAAAUGCAGUGGUGCAAUCAUAGCUUACUGCAGCCUCAAACUCCUGGGCUCAAAUGAUCUUCCUGCCUCAGCCUCCCUAGUAGCUGAGACUACAGGUGCUCACCAUCACACCUGGCUAAUUUUUUAAUUUUUUGUAGAGACAGGAUCUCACAGGAUCUCAGUAUGUUGACAAUGCUGGUCUUGAACUCCUGGCCUCAGGCGAUCCUCCCACCUCGGCCUCCCAGUAUUAUUAUUUGUAAUAUUGUUGAAUUCGGUUCAUAAAUAAUUAUUUUUUUCUCCCAUCUGUGUUCAAGGUGAAAUGGGUCUAUUAUUUUUUUUUCCUUGAGUUUUCCACAACUCAAUUUGGAGUCAAGAUUACACUCGGCUGAUAAAAUUAGCUAAUCAGGUUUAGUUUUUUUCUGUUUUCUGGAAAAAGUAUAUAAUAUAGAAGUUUCAUGUUCCUUGAAUGUUUGAUAGAACUCAUCUGUGAAACCAUCUGGGCAUUUUCAAAAAUAUAUUUUUUUAUUAGAUGCCAUUGAUAACUUUAAAAAUUGCUUUAAUACUCAUUGGUAUAGUCAAGUUUUGUAUUUCUUUUUGUGCUAAUUUUGAUAGAUUAAAUGUUUCUAGGAAUUUGCUUAUCUCACCUAGGUUUUCAAAUUUAUUAGCAUAUACUUGUUCAUAACACUCUAUGCUUUAUAUCUGUGUCAUAUCUGUAGCUGUUCCCCCUUUUUCAUUAUGUAUUUGUUUAUUCAUUUUUUCUCCCUUUAUCCAUAAUCGGCCUUGUUGUAACUCUGAAUAUCUUACAAAUAUUUUUAAGUAAGCAGCUUUUGGAAUCAAAAGUAUGUUAAUUUUCACUACCUAGUUUUUUGUUCUCUAUUUCUGUUUCAUUGCUUUCUAUUCUUAUCUUUAUAACUCCUUUUCUUCGUAUUUCUUUAGGUUUGCUCAACUUCUCUUUUUCCAAAUUUUUGAGUAGAAUUUCUAGGUCCUUUAUUUUAACUUUUCUUGUUCUAAUAAAUGUAUUUGAAAUUAUAAUAUUAUUUUAUAUGUAUAUUUUAUGUGUAACAUUUUUAACACCUGGUUCUAAAAGAGUUAAUUUUCUUUAUAACUGCUGUUUAUUUAUUUGACACAGGGUCCCACUCUAUUGCUGAGGCUGGAGUGCAGUGACGCAAUCAUGCCUCACUGCAGCCUCCAUCUUCUGGACUCCAGCGAUGCUCCCAUCCACGACUGCCUUUUAAAUCCAUGUUACUGAUAAAUAUAUUUGUUCACUUACAAUUUUAAGUAUAUUUUAGUUAUCAAGUUCUAAUUUUAUUACAGUAUGGUUGCAGAAUAUAGUUUCUUUCUUUCUUUUUCUUUUUUUUUUUUUUUUUUUUUAAGACAGUGUCUUACUCUGUUGCCCAGGCUGGAGGGCAGUGGCACAAUCUCAGCUCACUGCAACCUCUGCCUCCUGGGUUCAAGCGAUCCUCCCGUCUAGCCUUCUGACUAGUUGGGAUUACAGGUGCACCCCAUCCAGCUAAAUUUUUUGUAGAGACGGGGUUUUGCCAUGUUGCCCAGGCUGGUCUCAAACUCCUGGGCUCUAGGGAUCUGCCCACCUUGACCUCCCAAAAUGUUGGGAUUACAGGCAUGAGCCACUGCUCCUGGCCUAGAAUAUAGAUAGUUUCUAAGAUACCGAUACUCUGGAAUUUAUUGGCGUUACCUUUAUGGAAUGAUGCAUGUCCUAUUUGAGUAAAUGUUCUGUGUGGCUUGAACUAUUAUAUAUAAUUUUUGGUUUUCUGGCAACUUUUAAAAAAUGAAUUUUAUGAAUCUUGUACCUCAUUUUAUUUCCUUCUUUGCUUUCACUAUCCUAUGGCCUGGAGCCAAUUAUUUUUUAUCCAUUUAUAGUUGGCUGAUAAAUAUGUGUCCUGUUAAACCGGCUCUCUGAAGAAAAACAAUGCUUCUGACUUGUAGCAUUGCUGAUUUCUAUAGUAUAAAUACUUCCAUAGUGGUCAAUAUCAAGUUACCAAUAGUUAACAACUGUCUUCAAAAAUCCUGAAUACUUUGCAAUCUGCUCUUGCUAGCCAGUAUAAGACAGCGCACCACUUUUUUUUUUUUUUAAGAUAUUCACGUUGUCCAUUAGUUUCCAUUAGUUUCACUCCUUGGCUUCACUUACUUUUCUUAACCAUAUUUUCUCUCUGACCCAGUGUUGUUUUCUUCUUUUAAAAAUUGUUUUAAAUUAUCUCUGUAAGCUGCUACAAACCUUUUAUUGGAAUGAAGGGCAUUAGAACAGUUAUUUGGCCAAUACAGAAAAAUGAAGUCUUCUAAUUUUUUUUUUUUUUUUUUUUUUUGAGAUGGAAUUUCUCUCUUGUCGUCCAGGUGGAGUGCAAUGGCGCAAUCUUGGCUCACUGCCACCUUUGCCUCCCGGGUUCAAGCGAUUCUCCCUGCCUCAGCCUCCCGAGUAGCUGGGAUUACAGGCACCAUGCCCAGCUAAUUUUUGUAUUUUAAGUAGAGAUGAGGUUUCACCAUGUUGGCCAGACUGGUCACGAACUCCUGACCUCAGGGGUAACCUGGUACUCCUGAGGGUUCAGACUCAGAAUUAGGGAAUUUCCGCCUGUACUCUCAGUUUGGAGAUUCCCCUACACAUUCCUGCCCGCAGGGGCCCUUUUUCUUCAUUCCUCUGGCCAGAAAGCCGGUAUUUCUCUUGUUAACUCAGGGCUUGUGCUACCACGCAGUGCAGCUCUGCACCUGAGGCCUGACGUCAGGGCAGAGCUGGGAGGAAAAAAGGGGAAAACAUUGAAAACCCACUCCCCAGGAGGGGCCCCUCUCCCAGUUUUGACCCUCUUCACAAUCCACCUGCUUUUGUUUACUUUUUGGAGUCCUUGAGUACUUGCUUUUUGUAUACUGCCCAGAAUUUCUACUUGUGAUCAGUGGGAAAAAUGGGCUAUUUAAAAUCUCAAAUAAGUUAAAUAUCAUGGCUAGAAACAACUCCAGGCAUUUGUAAUUUUAGAUUUUUUUCUUUACACUCCAGGGGGAUGUGAUUGUUUUAGAGUUUUGAAUUCGUAUGUUUAGCCUGAGAUCCUACUAGUAUUUCUGUUGAAUAUGCCUGUUGACUGCCCACUUGUUAGCAAAAUGGCAUUGAAUGUUGGAACUGUAAACUACCUUAGAAAUCAUUCAGCACCAUCUUUUGACAGAAAAGGAUAUGAGAGUUCACUCCUGUCACUCAGGAAGUGCAAGGCAAAGAUAGAAGCAGAAUUAAAUUUGUUUUAAUACAGUUACUCAGCCAUCUGGUAACAGUUUCCUAAGUGCCAACGAAUGUAUGGGGCUAUUUAUUGCAGAUUUUAAGAUGAUAUAUGGGGAUUGAGGGAAUGAGAAGUUUUAGGGAGUGGUAGAGGAAGGGCAUAUAAUAAGACUGAAUCCCAGAUCCCAGCCUCAGAACUUAUUUUGUGACCUUGGUCAAGUGAUUUAAUCUUUCCAAACCUCUAUGUGUCCUAUAGAAGUAAUAAUAAUACCUAUAUAGGGUUGGGUGUUUUUUUUGUUUGUUUUUUCUUUUUCUUUUCUUUUUUUUUUCUUAAGAUAGGGUCUUUCUCUGUCACCCACGCUAGAGUGCAGUGGCGCAAUCACAGCUCACUGUAGCCUCAAACUCCCAGGCCUAAGCGAUCCUCCCACUCAGCCUCCCAGGCAGCUGGGACUACAGGCAUGCACCACCGCACCCGACUAAUUUUUAAAUUUUUUUGUAGAGAUGGGGUUCUCACUAUGUUGCCCAGGCUGGUCACUAACUCCUGGGCUCAAGCAAUCCUCCCGCCUUGACCUCCCAAAGUGCUGGGAUUACAGGUGUGAAUACAGGGGGUUUUUUGGUUUGAAUUUUAAGAGAUAAAAUUUAUAAAACAUUUAGCCAAUGCCACAAAUGUAGCUUCUUUUGGUUAUUGUCAUUAUUCUUUGAAAUUCACAAGUGCCCCAAAAUAUUUAAGCAUUUUUCAUGUAUUGCCCUUUAAUAUGAAUGAAUGCAUUAUGAAAGGAAUUCUUUUACAUGCGAGUUUGCUGAUAGUCUUAGCUAAUUCUCAUGUGUGUAGGUGUCUUGCCUAUCUGUCAGUCUUAGCCUUAAAGGAAAGAGUCCCAUCACCUCACUUGCGGCCUCAUCAUCAUGGACCGCAUGAUGAUGCGGAAUGAGAAUUUUUAUUGUUUGUACUACUUCAAAAUCAUUCAGUACGUGAUCACCUGUCAUGUAUAGGGCUCUUUAUAUUUCUAGUUUAGUCCCUUUUGUUUUCUCUAGGAAAGAUGUUUUAGACCUGGGACAAAAGAAGAAAGAGUGUAUGCUGACAUCUAGGAGGGAAGCACCCACCUCCCCUAAGCUCCAUCUCCCUGAGCACUCAUUUCCCAAUGACCAUACCAGGUUUUGGCCCUAGAGAGUUUAUUACAAAAUAAGAAAGAGAAGUCUGG